rnacentral:rRNA from 1 species
AAUCUGCCCUACACAAGAGGACAACAGUUGGAAACGACUGCUAAUACUCUAUACUCCUACUUAACACAAGUUGAGUAGGGAAAGUUUUUCGGUGUAGGAUGAGACUAUAUAGUAUCAGCUAGUUGGUGAGGUAAUGGCUCACCAAGGCUAUGACGCUUAACUGGUCUGAGAGGAUGAUCAGUCACACUGGAACUGAGACACGGUCCAGACUCCUACGGGAGGCAGCAGUAGGGAAUAUUGCGCAAUGGGGGAAACCCUGACGCAGCAACGCCGCGUGGAGGAUGACACUUUUCGGAGCGUAAACUCCUUUUCUUAGGGAAGAAUUCUGACGGUACCUAAGGAAUAAGCACCGGCUAACUCCGUGCCAGCAGCCGCGGUAAUACGGAGGGUGCAAGCGUUACUCGGAAUCACUGGGCGUAAAGGGCGCGUAGGCGGAUUAUCAAGUCUCUUGUGAAAUCUAAUGGCUUAACCAUUAAACUGCUUGGGAAACUGAUAGUCUAGAGUGAGGGAGAGGCAGAUGGAAUUGGUGGUGUAGGGGUAAAAUCCGUAGAUAUCACCAAGAAUACCCAUUGCGAAGGCGAUCUGCUGGAACUCAACUGACGCUAAGGCGCGAAAGCGUGGGGAGCAAACAGGAUUAGAUACCCUGGUAGUCCACGCCCUAAACGAUGUACACUAGUUGUUGGGGUGCUAGUCAUCUCAGUAAUGCAGCUAACGCAUUAAGUGUACCGCCUGGGGAGUACGGUCGCAAGAUUAAAACUCAAAGGAAUAGACGGGGACCCGCACAAGCGGUGGAGCAUGUGGUUUAAUUCGAAGAUACGCGAAGAACCUUACCUGGGCUUGAUAUCCUAAGAACCUUAUAGAGAUAUGAGGGUGCUAGCUUGCUAGAACUUAGAGACAGGUGCUGCACGGCUGUCGUCAGCUCGUGUCGUGAGAUGUUGGGUUAAGUCCCGCAACGAGCGCAACCCACGUAUUUAGUUGCUAACGGUUCGGCCGAGCACUCUAAAUAGACUGCCUUCGUAAGGAGGAGGAAGGUGUGGACGACGUCAAGUCAUCAUGGCCCUUAUGCCCAGGGCGACACACGUGCUACAAUGGCAUAUACAAUGAGACGCAAUACCGCGAGGUGGAGCAAAUCUAUAAAAUAUGUCCCAGUUCGGAUUGUUCUCUGCAACUCGAGAGCAUGAAGCCGGAAUCGCUAGUAAUCGUAGAUCAGCCAUGCUACGGUGAAUACGUUCCCGGGUCUUGUACUCACCGCCCGUCACACCAUGGGAGUUGAUUUCACUCGAAGCCGGAAUACUAAACUAGUUACCGUCCACAGUGGAAUCAGCGACUGGGGUGAAGUCGUAACAAGGUAACCGUAGGAGAACCUGCGGUUGGAUCACCUCCUUUCUA